rnacentral:lncRNA from 1 species
AACGGGACACCCCAACCGACGCCGGGGAGGGCGAACAGCUCCCCCUCGCCUUCCCGGGCAGGAAAAGCGGGCGGAAACGCGCUCCCCGCCGAAGCCCGGGGGAGGGCGGCGGGCGGCGGGCGGCGCGCGGCGUGAAUAUUCAUCAGGGGUGGGGCCCGAACAAUGGCCGGGCCGCGGGCGCGGCCGCGCGGCGCUCGCCGAGACGGCCCGGGGAGAGGGGACGCGCAGGGGCUGUCCCCGGCCAGGUGCCGAGGGACGGACACGCCCCGCCUCGCGCUGACAAUAAAGGAAGGAAAAUUGACCUGGCCCCCAGCGCACGGAGGCCGGCCGCCCGGCCCGCGGGGAGAGGCUGUGUCCCUCCCCGGCGGCCCGCCGCGCCCCGCUCCGAGGGGACGCUUCCGAAGAGGCUGUAUCCUCGCAGAGGAGGGUCCGCCCUUUCUUCUCGCCCCGCUUCGUCUCAUUCCCAUCCCCCACCACCAGAUUCUGCACCCUUAAGACCCUCAUUUCCGGUUUCUCUCCUGGCUCUUCUUUUCCUUUCUCUUCUUUUCCGAGCUAAAUUUGUGGCACGGUUGUCGUUGCGGGAUUUGCUGAGCAUCACUUGGCUGCCCGGUCCACUUGCAGUGGAAACAGAAUCCAAAACAGCUUCUCUGAUUGCCUUGUGCUGAGUUCCUUACCUCGCUCAGUAGGAAACCAACAUCUAAAGAAGUUAAGUGACUUCACAGCUUAAGGUGUGCACAGCUUAACUCAACGCAGGAAUGCCAAGGCCCCUCAAGUCAGCGUCCCUCCACAGUUCUGGAGGCUAGAAGUCCGAGAUCAAGAUUCCAGCUGAUUUGGUUUCUGGAUUGCUUACAUUGAAUUCAGCUAUGAAAAGUCCUUUAUCUGCAAAAUCCUCAAGAGGCCUCAGAAAUGAGAUCAGAGAUAGCCCUAGCUUUGGAAAUCAAGAUGAGAGCCAUACGAAGUGGUUGGGAGAAGCUGUUUGGGGACCUUGAAUUGUUGUUGUGUGUGUCUGGUUUUUAUAGGUUGUUGGACAAGGGAAUCAGGAUCUCUGCCAAGGGAAGGCCACUCUGGGCCUGUUAGAUAAAGAGAUAACAGACUUCUUUAUUUACACUUUAUCACAUACUUGUGUCCUAAGCCUGUGUAGCUAAAUCUCAGGAAGUGACCAGACCAGUGGGCCCCUCUUAUGCUCAGCCGUUUAAUGUGUCGCAAGUGAAAUAGAAUUAUGAGUUUGAAUACAAUGCAUCAGAUACUGGCCAAUAUGCAUGAGGACCCCUAUUGAAGAGGAG